CCUGGAUAGAAAUGCUUCACGUGGUGGGCUCUGUGUUCCACUGCAAAGGCAGCUGUGGCUCUGUGUGAAGGUGUCGAGAGGGAGGCUGGAGAAGGAGCAAGCUGAUGACAAAAGGGACCUGACAGGGAAAGGAAGACAAGAAAAAGGACUAUCCUGACCCAUGUUCUCAGUGACCAGUGUAAAACCCUCCACUUUAAAUUUCCUCACACAGAGAUGAAGCUUGGAGUGUUUUGCAAAGGGUUCUGCUCGAUUCCCUCUGCACACAAUCUCCCCUCCACCAGGAGGUCCAGGGGUUGCUCACACGUUACCAGCACGAGCUCCUGCUGGCCCCUCUUGAGGGAGGAGGAUUGAAAACUUCUUGUGAGGCAGCUUUUGAUCGGUGAAGAAGAUGUGGAAAAUAGAGCAUACAUGGAAAUCUGUGAAUCCUGAGAAUGCUGGCAUCUGCAUAAAGGAUCAAUUUUUGGGAGGGCCUGUUGCAUCAUUUCCACUGCAAUGGCUGUAUGAGAAAUGCAUCUGCUUCUACAACUGAGCUUUAAAGAGGUUUCUCUCUGUAUCUACUAUUUCUUGUCCAAUGUUUUCAUAAAAAAGGAAAGAAAAAAAAGUAGAAAUUAGCCAUAGACUGCAGAUGACAGGGACUGUUGCUUGAGGUUGGUAUGAAGGUGUUUGUUCUCUGAUUGCCUAUGCUGCACUUGCUCCAUGGACUGGGCUGGUUUGCUUGGAGUGAUGAGGGAAACCUCAAAUGGUUUGGAAGUGAGCUUAAAGAUCAUCUCAUUCCAAACUUUCAGAGGAAACAUGUUGUGUAUUUCUUGAAGGUUCCUUAGUUUGACUGAAUAUCCAAAAAUUUGAGACUUCUACAGUAUCUAAUCACCCUGUGAAAGUCCAGGCCAGGAUUUCAGACUUUGAGGAUAGCAAGCAAACUCCUUAAAUUAGGGGUUUCAAUUAGAGAAUAUUAAAUUCUCUUCUGUAAGAGGAGAUGUUUUAGGAGAAAUGGGAAUAGCCAGGUGGGAGUAAUUGGUUUUGGAAGAGUCAAAUGUGGGAGCUCUGCCCAGCACUUUCUUUUAUUAUGGCUGUUUUCCUUCCACAGCUCAGGAAAACUCAUAUUCAUGCACAGCCUUACACUUCACUGGGAUUCCCUGACUUGGAGACUGUCAGCACUGCCUUAUUACACAAGCUCUUUGUUUUAUUCUGCACAAUACAUCUCGCCAUACACAAUUUGGCCUCUUAACCUGCCGUGAAAUAUUUCAAGGGCUCGUUGCUGGAGGACGCCGCCUCUCCUGGCCGCGAUUUGCGCAUUUCCCCGACAGCCUGUGCCGAUCCGUGGCGGGUUGCAGCACAAUGAACCCGUGCUGCAGAGCAGCACACUGAAAAAGAUCUUUCAAAUUAUUGUUCCGGUGCAGAAGGUGCCCAAUCACCUUCCACCUGCGGAUUAGGCGUUGCUAUAGGAACGCGCUGCGGCCUUUCAGCGCCGCGCCACCGCAGCGCCCGGAUUACCCCUCUGACAAACACAAUGGGGGCACAGAACCACGGGUUAUUAGUGCUGCUGAUGAUGGGGUGGUGCAAACCUGGGGUGCCACGGAGAGGAGGAAUAGAGCAGGAGCCUCAGAAAGCAGAGGACGGGAGGAGGAGAGGGAGCAGAGUGAGGUGGAGCUGAAGUCGUCGCUGUGGAAAUGUUGUCUUUGAUCUCAUUUUCCCCUCUGAAUGGAUAUUUUCAUAAUACGAUGCCAAAUGCAAGCAAUGCUGUAACUGGUGGCAGAGCCACUGGUCGUGUCUUUAUCUUAGCAGGGGGCUGCUCCUCCUCUCUUCCUUUUUCUCCCAGUGAGUACAGAAAUCUGAACCUUUUCAUUCCUGGAGGAUUAACUCCGAGCAAGGUCAGAGCAACCAGUCACCAAUAUUCUUCAUGGGGGCCUCCCCGACCUUGCAAUUGGACCCCUGUGACCCUCUAAGCAGAGAAAUGGCCUUGCUCAACCCCUUGUUUGCAAAAUGGACUGAAAUACAGGGUUUGCACCAUACUUACAGAGCCCAAGGACUAUCCAAACACCACAGAGAGCACAAGUCCUCUUCUGCUACAAGGAACCUGUAAAGAACAACAGCAAUUAAGGAGGGAGGAACAAAGUUCAGUCGUUGUCGAAACAGAAAUUCCAAGUGGUUUUCUCCUCAGGACUUCUGGAUCUCAGCACUGACUUUCCAGCAGCCAGGGAAAGCCAGAAAUUAGAUGGCGACAUCCACUGCACUCUUCAGACACCUCGCUGCCCUGGUGCAGAGCUAUCUAACAUCAGGGUGUGGGUGAGGAACCCUUGGAAAUGAGCCCUGGGAAACCUCAAACAUGAAUCCUGCUCCUCUCUGCAGAUGGAGACCCUCGUCCGUGGUCCCAGGGACACCUCCCCGAGGUGACAGCAGCAGCCUCAGCUCUCUGGCAGGCACCUGAGCUGUUUUCAGAGCUGGGCAUCACAGCCCCCACCACCCUAAAGUACUCUGGUGUUUCCUGGGAGAUACCACUGAGAGAUGAUGCUACAGAAAUCCAGCCAAGACUUCAUUUACACAAGUAAAAAUGAAAAGUGACAUCAGCAUCUAUUUGAGCUGUGCCACCUUGACACCAAUUAAAUGCACAGCUGUGCAUCUGUUCAUGCACAGGGCUCGAUUGCUGGUGUGCUGGAGCUCAGGCCAAGGCUGUUC